rnacentral:rRNA from 1 species
ACUCCUACGGGAGGCAGCAGUGGGGAAUAUUGCACAAUGGGCGCAAGCCUGAUGCAGCCAUGCCGCGUGUAUGAAGAAGGCCUUCGGGUUGUAAAGUACUUUCAGCAGUGAGGAAGGUGGGUAUGUUAAUAGCAUACUCAUUUGACGUUAGCUGCAGAAGAAGCACCGGCUAACUCCGUGCCAGCAGCCGCGGUAAUACGGAGGGUGCGAGCGUUAAUCGGAAUUACUGGGCGUAAAGCGCAUGCAGGUGGUUUGUUAAGUCAGAUGUGAAAGCCCGGGGCUCAACCUCGGAAUUGCAUUUGAAACUGGCAAACUAGAGUACUGUAGAGGGGGGUAGAAUUUCAGGUGUAGCGGUGAAAUGCGUAGAGAUCUGAAGGAAUACCGGUGGCGAAGGCGGCCCCCUGGACAGAUACUGACACUCAGAUGCGAAAGCGUGGGGAGCAAACAGGAUUAGAUACCCCCGGUAGGCCUGC